AUGUUUUCUGUUGGUAACGGGAGCAGAGUGAGUUUGUUCAUUUUGUGUUUUGAUUUCUGUUCAUUUGAUUUCUGUCGUUACAUUUUCAUUUGUGCACCACUCGUCUCCCUUCCUGGGAGCCCCGGGAGAGGGAGCAGAAUCCCGAGGCCAGAGUCGCAUCCUGGAUGGGGACUUCAUGGGGCGGGACUGACUGCCGGUCCCCCAAGCCCUCUGUGUCCCCAGUGGCUCCCGCGUCCCUCAGCAGAGCGGGGCAGGAGGUGUCCAUGGCGGCUCCUGGGGCCCGAGCUGAGAAGGCUGUCAGGGGCUCUGCUGUCCUGUCUGCGGUGGCUCUACAAGGUUCAAGACCAAAGAAUCCCAGAAACUCGAUCUGCACCAGCAAGAAGACUUCCUGUGGAAGGACCUCUUGGUGGCCAUGGCUCCUGUGCCGGAGGCCCCUGGAUGGAGGUGAGUGCAUCUGCUCCUCUGAGACUCAGACGUCCGGAUCCCGUCCCUCCUGAGAGCCCUGACCUUCGAGUCGGGCCCUUCAGGCCUCGGAGCCUCAAUGUGCCCCCCUGGGAGAUGGGUGUCUCUGAGGGCCACAGUGGCCCCAUGAGUCUUGCAUGCAAGGUCCUGCAUGGUGCGCGAUGGGGGGUGAGCACGUGA
rnacentral:lncRNA from 1 species